rnacentral:lncRNA from 1 species
CAUGUCAACAAUGUCUCCAAUAACAACAAUUCCAAUUUCAAUAUUUAAAAUUCUAGCAAUCUUAUGUCAACUAUUACAAGACAUGGGAAAAAAAAAACAAAAAAUCUGCUUAAUGUUAAUACGUUUUCAAUUCAAGCAAUUACUACAUAUGAAAGUCUAGUAAGUUUAUAUCCAUUACAUAGAAAAAGAAAACAAGAUUUCAAUCGAAAUCAAUUCCAGCAUUCUGAUUUGGAAGAUAAUCAGCCCACAUUAAAUCAGCAAUCGCAUUCCUCUUAUUAGACCAUACUUCCUGAUUUGUGAAAGAUAUGUGAGCAUUUGGAGUUUCAUCUUCAGGUACAUCAACAUGCGUAGGGUUAACAUCAUCAUCACUACUAUCUAAGUCGUCCUCCUCACAAACAUCUUCAACGUCAUCAAUCCUUAAGAAGUUGUGGAUGGCAGAACAGGCAAGGACUAUCUUUGCUUGUGUGUCAAUGUCGUGAUAGGGUUGAUGUCUCAAAUAUGCAAAUCUUUUUUUUAGCAACCCAAUUGUACGCUCAAUAACAUUACGUAGAGAUGAAUGUCGAAAAUUGAACAACUCCUUACUACUUUCAGGACGUUGACCUUCAAUGUCUCUACGAUGAUAACGAGUCCUACGGUAUGGUGCAAGAAAACCCGAAACCGAUGGGAAGCCAGCGUCAACAAGGUAAUAUUUACCUAGGAAAGAGUCGUUCAUACGAUGGUAGUUAGGUAAUUAUUAUAACUUAUGUGUGGAAGAAAUGUUUUCAAAAUAGUGACACAACUUAUCAACAGGAAUUGUU